rnacentral:rRNA from 1 species
CUACAGGGUGCUGCAGUGAGGAAUAUUGCACAAUGGGGGGAACCCUGAUGCAGCAACGCCGCGUGGAGGAUGACGCAUUUCGGUGUGUAAACUCCUUUUAUAUGUCAAGAAAAUGACGGUAGCAUAUGAAUAAGCACCGGCUAACUCCGUGCCAGCAGCCGCGGUAAUACGGAGGGUGCAAGCGUUACUCGGAAUCACUGGGCGUAAAGGACGCGUGGGCGGGUUGGAAAGUCAGGUGUGAAAUCCUACAGCUUAACUGUAGAACUGCACUUGAAACUUCUAAUCUAGAGUAUGGGAGGGGGAGAUGGAAUUAGUGGUGUAGGGGUAAAAUCCGUAGAUAUCACUAGGAAUACCUAAAGCGAAGGCGAUCUCCUGGAACAUUACUGACGCUAAGGCGUGAAAGCGUGGGGAGCAAACAGGAUUAGAUACCCUCGUAGUC